AGUGGCUUAAAAUAGCUUCCUUUUUUGCGCUUGACUUCCGACAAGGACUUGUAGGCAGCAACAAACACAUCCGUCAUGGGUGGUUCUCUGUGCUUCUACUAACAAGAAGUCAAAGCACUUCCUUAUACUCUCUCUUUGCUGAGAUGGAGUCACCAAGUUUGAUUCUUCUAAGCUGUUUCCUGAUACAAUGCUACGGGUCCACUCACUUUCAUUACCUAAAGAAAGGGGAGGAGUUAACACUGUCCUGUGAAACAUGUCAAUGGCAGGCUGAUGUGAAUUCAGACAACAGAGUGGACUGCAGCUUCAUAGACAGUAAUUAUGCAAAUAACUCAAAAUGCACUGCAUGAAAACAGGACCUAUGCCAAAAGAUAAAGAAGAACAAACCCACCGGUUGUGAAAUCUGUGUAAUGAGGGGAUUCUUUGCCUGUGUUAAUGCUACAUCUGACUCCUGCUUCAUGCAUCCAUUCAAACCCUCUUCUCACCAUGUGGAGUCCUUCAUUGUUGCUCAGGCAGAACCAGACAUUGUGUCUAAACCUGUAAUGGAAAACUCAGUGCUUGUGUCUGGAAGAGAAUCAAUUAAUCUGGCGUGCGCUUUUAAAACAAAGGGGAAUUAUUCCAAUAAUCCUUUCGUGGUGUACUGGAUCAAGACUGGAGCUCAGAGCAGCACAUGUGUGUAUUCCUUUGAUUACGAUGGAUAUGAUAGUGGUGCUGAUCACCACUGUGCCAUCGACAAAGAUCUUCUGUUAAGGAGAUCAAACACAUCAAAACUCUCCCUUGAUGACAACAUCCAUAACCUAAAGAUCAGCAAUGCCACUCAGUCAGACCGUGGACAGUAUCUGUGUGUCUUAAUGGUGAACACAAAUAGUCAGCAGUACUGGGCAGUAAUAACCAACACUACAGUCAUUAUGGAUAAUCCUGAUUCCCAUCUCAUCUAUGUGAUUGGUGUAUUAGUACCCGUUCUUCUCCUCCUCCCUGUCAUCAUCAUCAUCAUCAUACUGCUUAAAAGGAAACCAGCUGAGACCACAGUAUCUCAAACUGCAAUAACUCAAAGAUUUCAGAACGGGGAGGAAGUGGAUGACGACGACUGUUCCCCUUAUGCGAUGGGCCAGGGAGAGCAGGAACCAACGUACUCACUCAUUCAGCUGACCAAUCAGAAGACUGACCCUGUGUUCAGUGGGGAUGGAGAACUCGCUUCAGAUCCAUCAGCAGAUGAGGGCAUCAUGAGGAAGAACUCCAUAUAUGAAACCUCAGGUCCAUAGUCUCAACUGCCUGCCAGUUUCUUGUGUGAGUUCCUGCAUAAAGACCAAGAUUACAUGACCGGCCUGUUUAUAACCCGUAAAUAACCGCAUUAGUCCUGUUUCAGUUAAAAUGAGGAAGGAACUCUCGCUGUCACAACUUCCUGACUGAAACCUAAAAUUUCCCCAGAUUGCUUUGUUUGUGGGCUUAUCCCACAGCUGUCAUUUCAGUUAUAGAAUAUAUAAAUAUGACUAUUGUUGUGAUUUGUUGGAUAGUCAUUUCUAAUACAUUGAGCCAAUAUGCUUGAGGUUGUUCAAAUGUGUUUGCAUGUGUGGUUUGUGAAUAAGCCAAACUGAUAAAUGAACUAAUUAAACUGUAAAUUAAAAAAGUCAGUCUUGAAGGAAAGGGGGCAUUUGUUUUUGUAGUUUGACAGAUACACCCAGUUUACCAGUUAAUAUGGUGAAGCAACUCUCGGUUUCACACAGUAAGCAUUGUGUGUAGUUUUUUUAGCACUCCCAAAAUACUCUGAAAGAGUCAACUUUUCUUUUUAAAGUCACUCAUUCUCUACAUAUUUUUCUGGUCUGUACAAGUUAACUGGUAACCCUCAGUUACUGUAAAGAGAGCGAACUGUUUAUUACACUGAGGGUCUACAGAACCAAAACGAUCUACUGUCCAUUGCAAAGUAUUGCUUCCAUGUUUUUUACGGCAGUCUACUUUAGGUGACUACGUUGCUGGGCUCCCCACUAUACAUAUACAUUUCACCUUAAUGUAGAUAUUAAUAUGACUAUAAGGUAAGCUGUUUCAAAUAAAUCGAAAGAUUAGGCUACUUCAAUACACGUCGGCGUAAAAUUAUAUAACUGAAAUGGC
ensembl:lncRNA